rnacentral:rRNA from 1 species
CGCGUAGGAAUCUACCUAGUAGAAGGGAUAGCCGGGAACCGGAUAUACGUAUACUCCUUCGGAGAAGAAGGCCUCUCUUUGAAGCUUUCGCUAUUAGAUGAGCCUGCGUAAGAUUAGCUUGUUGGUGAGGUAAAGGCUCACCAAGGCGACGAUCUUUAGCUGGUCUGAGAGGACGAUCAGCCACAUUGGGACUGAGACACGGCCCAGACUCCUACGGGAGGCAGCAGUGGGGAAUAUUGCACAAUGGGCGAAAGCCUGAUGCAGCCAUGCCGCGUGUGUGAAGAAGGCCUUGGUUGUAAA